GGUGAACCGAAAAAGACUCAGGGAGAACUCAGGACAUAUAAACAAGAACCAAACAAAGGGAACUAAUGAGAUGAUUAAUUAACACAGGUGGAAACUAAUGAACUAAUCAGGGAACAACAGAAAACUAGGUCAAGGCAGAUGAACAGAAACACAGGGAAAUCUAAACAGCGACAGAACAUAAACGUGACACUCUACUGACAUGACCACAAACUUAAAGUAAAAAAAGUUAGCAUGGAAGAGGAUGUGUCUUGGCUUCGACGGAGGAAAAAGCAAGCUGUAAGAGUUUGACUGAGACACAGCUGAAGCUGGAUACAGGCCACAAAGAGAUACACUGCAGAGCAGAACAAGAGCAACGUCAAUGACACUCUAUGCAAACCAGAACACAUCCCAUAAUAUCAGACAGCUUGACUCAAGCUUGUGCAGUAGCAGCAGCAAUACUGUAGUACCGACAUGUUUAGUAGGCAGCUCAAAGGUUACAUCCCAAUUUGCAUACUAUAUACUACAUUGUAGUAAUGUGUUCUAAACAUUAGUAAAUUAAAAACAGCAUGAUGGAUUUUGGAAAUAUGCAUCCAUUUAUGCUUUAUGAGUAAAUGAUUCACACAAACCGUGGCAUUCCUGAGGAGGAGGAGUUCAUGACUCAAGGUUUCAGUGUUAGAAAAAUGCAGUUAUUUUAAGUUAUUUUAAACGCAUGAAUGUAAAACAUUAAGUAAUCAUGGAUUAAUUAGGUCAUUUAUUACGUUUAUUACAAAUAUUUGAUGCAGUUUUAUGAAUCAUUUUCCAAAAUAACACUAAUGUUGAAAAAGUUUAGAUUCACAUAAACAUUUUUAUGAUUUUGAAAAAAAAAAAACUGAUUCCAUUUAUUAGAGUAGAUAUUUAUGUAUGUUUUAAAAAACAUUUUUAUUGGUCAUGACUUCUUUCAAAAACUAUAAAAACUCUUACCGACCCCAAACUUUCAUACAGUAGUUGUUGCUCGCUCUAAUCUCCAUGAAAAACUGCAUGCUUCCAGUGUGCAGGAAGCCAUUAGUCUUGAGGCCGUAAAUUAAAUUAAAGCUCAUAAAUUAAAUUAAUAUCUUGUAGAAGUAUGUAAAUUGGGAUCCAGCCAAAAACUUAGAUCCAGAACAAUGCACAUUCUUUCAUCCCAUGAAAGUAACAGCAGAGAUUGUGAUAUAUGAAAGUUUUCAGGACACUUUUUUUUUUUUUCUGUUUGUGAGGAGUAUUCAUGCAGUAUCUGUGAGAAGUGAGCUGUGCUGAGCCUUGAUCUUGCUGUAUUGUCGUGUUUCUCUUCCAGAUGCAGAGGAAUGUGUUUGAGGAGAUGAAGUACAUAGAACUGAGGGUUGUCACUGACCACAGCGUGGUGUGUUUAAAUGCUGUUUGAAUAUAAUACCCCUUUAUGUGAAAGUAUCUUCGGCCUUCUGAUUUUCUUUGUGAAAAAGAUGUACACUUUGGCAUACUUUUAAAAAGAACGCCU
ensembl:lncRNA